CCCUAGUAUUAAAAAUUUAAUAAGAUUAUUUGAUGAGAAAUAAAAGUUUUGGCGGUUGAUUAUUAUGAUAGAGGAGCUGUUUUAAUAGAAAUUACUCUUUAUAAUUUAUUAANUUUUGGUUUAAUUAUCUCCGUUAUAAGGUUAAAAACUUUAUAAAUUUUGGUUUUUAUUUCAGGUCAAGAUGUAGCAAUAAUUAGGAAAAAUUAGCUACAAUAAUGAAGUUAUAUGAAUUUAUAUAAAGGAAUAUUUUUAAUGAAAUUGAAUUUAAUUGUAAUUUAAUUUAAAAUGAUUAAGUGAAAAUUUAUGAUUAAUGUA
rnacentral:rRNA from 1 species